AUUGAACGCUGGCGGCAUGCCUAACACAUGCAAGUCGAACGCGUGGCGGACGGGUGAGUAAUGUCUGGGAAAGAGCCUGAUGGAGGGGGAUAACUACUGGAAACGGUAGCUAAUACCGCAUACCAUCCGAUGUGCGCAGAUGGGAUUAGCAAGUUGGUGGGGUAACGGCUCACAAAGUCGACGAUCCCUAGGUGAUUUGAGAGGAUGACCAGCUACAAGGGAACUGAGACACGGUCCAGACUCCUACGUGAGGAAGCAGUGGGGAAUAUUGCACAAUGGGCGCAAGCCUGACGCAGCCAUGCCGCGUGUUUGAAGAAGGCCUUCGGGUUGUAAAGUCAUGUCAUCGGGGAUGCGUUACCCGCAGAAGAAGCACCGGCUAACUCCGUGCCAGCAGCCGCGGUAAUAC
rnacentral:rRNA from 1 species